rnacentral:lncRNA from 1 species
ACCAAGGUGGCCUCAAGAAUUGAUAGGAUCCCAGCCACAAGUGAAGGCCUUACUCAGGGAAGUCACAACGGGUUGCUCGUCCAUACAGGAUCAAGGACAGGUUGGCCUGUUGGCCAGACGCCCAGCACAAACAGCUCAGCCCAGUGAGGGAGAGUCAUUAGAUGAAGAAAUGGAAGCUCAAAGAAGGUCAGCACAUUGCUCCAGUCACACAGGCAGUGAAUGGCCAGGCAAAGACUGGGUCCAAGGUCCCUGUUCUUGACCCGCAUACUUC